rnacentral:rRNA from 1 species
ACUACUCCUAUCAGGAGGGGAUAACCCGGCGAAAGUCGGACUAAUACCGCAUGAAGCAGGGGCCCCGCAUGGGGAUAUUUGCUAAAGAUUCAUCGCUGAUAGAUAGGCAUGCGUUCCAUUAGGCAGUUGGCGGGGUAACGGCCCACCAAACCGACGAUGGAUAGGGGUUCUGAGAGGAAGGUCCCCCACAUUGGACUGAGACACGGCCAA